AUUUUUAAAAUAAUAUAAUUAAUGAAAUUGUUAAACUAAAUGAUCUAUACUAUACUAAAAAGAAAAUAAGCUCAAAGGAGAAGCAUGCCACCUAGGAUUAAAAAUUCGGACCAAUCAGAGACAAGUUUUUGACACGUCAUUACUCAACCAGAAAAUGAACAAUCCUGGUUUCUUUCGGUGGCAUGAAAUUAUUUUGUUCUGGCCCAAAACAAGCCCACUUGAGUUAACCCCUAUCCUCGAUCGAUUUCCCCUCAGUCACUUCGUCUUCUCCGCUUCGUUACCGCGAUCGCACCUCUUAUCAAUCAAUAGUUUUCUAAAUUUACUCUUUAUGAAUUCGUUUCACAUACUUCUCUAUCACAUCUUUAUAUACUGUUUUUUCUUUCCUUGCUACAAACCAUAACCAAACCUGCUCAAAUCAAGCUCAACCAAAAGGCAAGUCCAUGUCUCCUCCGCCAAUGCUCACAAAGUUAUGUUCUUCAAUGAUAUCUCACCAUGCAUGUCCCCAUGAAACCCAGUUAUCAUCUGAUAUAGUUUUGGGACCCUUUUCCUCAUAAAUUUAGUUUCUCCUGAUUUUUAUUUUAAAUAUCGUUUGUCUUCUUUUUUUUUAUCUCUCUAAACAACACAUCGUCCAUGUUAAUCUUCUUUCACAUUGUCUACAGGGAACUGAACGGUUAUUCAAUGAUUCAUUCCAUGAAACAAGGAUCAGUUUACAGACUCUUCAUCUUCUACCAAAAGCAAACCGGUAUCGGGUUGCUGAUCAUAGCAUAGCCAUUUCUUUCUCAUACAACUCUGACAUGUUGGCUCCCUUUUUACAAAGACUGGUUCUGGUUCUAUUCAUAUGAGGAUUUUGAAACUAACUGUGACCUCAAAGGUGACCUUCACGGAACAAGAAGAGCAAGUGAAAUUUUGGGCGCAAAAUCAAGGGCACAAACAAACACUUGAAUAUCCUUGAAAAGAUCUAUGAUAUAAGUAAUAUUUUUAGCUUAAAGUAACUCAAGAUUGUUUUGUUUGGUGCUGCACUCUUAAGCCAUUGUUUUGUCUCUUUAUGUUAGCAAGCUUCUUGCUCCUUGCUUCUGUUGGUUGGAUUACUAAUAGAUACAUAUGUUUUCCCAGUACAACAACAACUUCCUUAAAUACUUGCAGCCAGAUUGACAGGUAUGCAAUCUAGCCAUGAGUGAGUGAACUGGCACUGUUGUGUGGUGACCAAGCGUGAUCAGUGAAUAAUGUGGUUUGAUGUAUGGGUUGGGUUUUACAUAGCUGAUGUUGCUGAUUUAAGCUGCUACAAAAAGCAUAAAACCUUGGCUGAUGUGAAAGACUAAUAUGACUCAUAACUGACUUCAUCUAUCACACCUGUUCAGUUAACAAAACAGACAUUUUGUAAAUCGAUUUUAUUGACAGUUUUCUAUUUGUUGUGCAUUAAAAACAAGAAAGAGAAAGCAAUACAGGAGUUCAACAUGGUAGUUAUUCAAAUAUCAUUUAUGUGGGGGCAAAUCACUAGAAAAAUGGUGUAAUUGCCAAUUUAGACCAGGAAAUUACACAAACAAAUUGGUACACAUAUUUUAAAGAAAAAGUAUCAAUCAAUUUAUAGAAUAUGUGACGUACCACCCAAAUUUUUAAGAAACACAAAGUAACAAUCAAACUAUAGUAUAUGUGACGUACCUUCCGAGUGUAUAUCGACAGUGGGCACACAUGUUUUCUUGGCAAUGAUGGCACAUAAUCCCUAAGUAAUUAUGUAUUCAUCACAAUUAUCUGAAAUCGAAAAACAGAA